CUGAUCAUUAUGCAGACCGAGUGUCUGCACGAAGUUCGGCAUCAAUAUGGUGACCUGGGAGCGGGGGACCACCAGGUUGCCUAAGGAUGGGUAAACUGGCCCAGGUCAGAAGUGGAGCAGGUCAGAACUCCCAGGUCGAUAGGUAGUGGGACUGUGCCUGGGCAACAUAACAG
rnacentral:SRP_RNA from 1 species